rnacentral:lncRNA from 1 species
UGAAAAUGAUUUUUAUAAAUUCAGAUGUCAAUUAGAAUAAAAUAUUUGAUAUUCUCUUUUUUUUUGCUUUUGUUUUGUUUUUGUUUUUUGAGACACAGUCUCACUCUGUCACCCAGGUUAGAGUCAGGUGGCACAAUACAGCUCACUGUAGCCUUGACCUCCCAAACCUCAUGUAAUCCUCCCGCCUCAGCCUGCUGAGUACCUGGGACUACAGGCAUGUGGCACCUGUAGUGGAAUAUUUUGUGUAGAGAGGUCUACAGUGUUGCCUAGGUUGGUCUUGAACUCCUGGGUACAGGCAUUCCUCCCACCUCAGCCCCCCAAAGUUCCGGGAUUACAGGUGUGAGCCACCUCACUGGGCCUGAUAUAAUCAUAAAUACAUUUUAAUAUUGAUACUUGUAGUAUCUGGUUCACACUGCAUGUGAAAAUAACAAAAUCAAGAGUUUAAAUACCCUAGGAGCAAAAGAAAGACCUGUAGAACACUGGAACAUUUUUCUGUUUCAUUGUCCUAAGCCUCAAUCUAUCAUGUAUACCAAGUAACUUCCGCCCUUUUUUGGUUCUCAGGGGUUGCAAAAUAAAGCACAGAACCUUCCUAGGAAGAGUUCACUGGCCAAGAGAGAUGAUAGUUCUUACACAUUCAAAACUAUUUAAACUCAAAGAAUAAUUGGUUUAUUUAUAAAGAUCUAAAAUGUAAUCAGUGAUACCCAACUAGAGCAAAUACAUUCUCUGCCAUAGCACUUAACUGCAUUAAAUAUUGCCUUAAAUUUGACACCUUAUAUAUAUUGUGUGUGUGUUUUUAAAUUUCAUGUGCAUGUGACUUUUCUACUGAAUAAUAUUAUUAAACUUCUGUGCAUUGGGUUAUGUUUAUAGUCAUCAUUUUGAUAAGCAGUAGCAUACUGCUUAGUCACGUAACAGGUGCUUGGUUAAUAUUUAUUGAAUUAAAUUGGAAUGUGUAGUUGACCUGGUCCA